CCACCAGCUGCAAGGUUUGACCGGGCCUUUUUCUCCAAUACGAGAUUGCAGCAGUACGAUACGAGAGUAUACGGUGGGGCCCUGCUCACGUGUAUGGUACUGUACAAGCGGAGACGAGACUCACACCCUCAGGCGAGAGCGGAAUCGGAUCUAGAUCUAGACGCCGCCGGCGAUGCAGGUCCAUCGUUCUCCCUGUCCUCGCCUCCUAUUCCUCUGUUCGUCCGUGCGUCGACCAGAUCUGAGGAAGAUCUGAGAGAGCUUCUCCAUGGCGGCCACCAAGGAUUUACCGGUCUGCUACUCAGUGGCCGGGCCUCGCCAGUCGCCAUGCCACGUGCUCUUCCGGCGUCAAGGGAGCUUCACAGCUUCGCAGUACCGGAGUCGGGCUCGCUUGACUGUUGCGCCAAGUAUGGGGAUGGGCGACGGCGGCCCGAGGCUUCCCCGUGAUCUGUUUCUUUGAUGUCGCCAUGGCGUAUUCCGGACAGCCAAGGCAGGAGCCGAGACAAGGAGGUCCCCGUGGCAAGCGUGCCACAUGGGCAGGCAGCCAUGUCCAUCAUGGAGCUGCAAUUCAUCUUUGUUUACCUCCUCGACUCCAUUCUCUUGAUAUGGGAGUGUUGUUGUCUCCACCUUGGCACUAACCCGAGGCUCUUUCUUGAUUCCGUCCAGGCCCAAGUAGAUUUGCGCAUCUUCAUACCUGGGAUUUUCUACUUGAUGCAUCUCCUCCUGGUCGCUGUGUUUUUUUAUGCGGAGCACAAAGUUUGCAUGGCAGUACUUCUUUGGGCCCUGCUAGAGAAAACUGCCUUGGAAGCCAUUAGCCACCGACGAGACCGGAAAAUCCAUUUCAGUGUGGCUGUGCUUACCCUCGUGCGUCACCGCGAGGAUUGUGCUAGAGCUGCAUCUUGGACGGCGGCGACUGGAGGCUCCCAUGGAUCUGGGUUCUACGUUUACCUUUAUUUUUCGAUCUGGGCCCACAUUUUUUCACAGCCUCCGGUUUUCGUCUCGGUUUUACAUGGCGGCCACCAUCAUCGUCCUCACAUAUUUUCUGGCUGCAGGAGGAUUUCAGUAGUAGAAAUUUAGACUAUUGAAUGCACAGCUUUGCCAAUUCAAGUUGUAGAACUUUCUAAACAAGUUAGCACUUUGUUGUUGCAGGUCUAAUUAGUUAGUGCUUCGGAUUGUUGUGUGAUGGAUUGUUGUUUAUGGUAAUUAGGACAUGAGUUUGAUGCAACACCCGUGGAUGAUUAGCCUACAUAUUAAGUUAUUCCAUUAGGUGUGCUCAUUACACUUAUAUCUAUGCUGUUAUAUGUAAUUCACCAUUAGGGUGUAGUUUCUAAAUAUUCUGCUCCAAAAAGAUGUGUCGUUGCUGUCAUAAGUUGGAGGAUAUUUUUUGCUCA